UCCUGGCUCAGGAUGAACGCUAGCGGCAGGCCUAACACAUGCAAGUCGAACGGUAACAUGAGUAGCAAUACUUGAUGACGAGUGGCGCACGGGUGCGUAACGCGUAUGCAACUUACCUCUAACUGGAGAAUAGCCUUCCGAAAGGAAGAAUAAUACUCCAUAAUAUUACGAUGUGGCAUCACAUUGUUCUUAAAGCUUCGGCGGUUAGAGAUGGGCAUGCGUCUGAUUAGCUUGUUGGUGAGGUAACGGCUCACCAAGGCAACGAUCAGUAGGGGGCCUGAGAGGGUUAUCCCCCACACUGGUACUGAGACACGGACCAGACUCCUACGGGAGGCAGCAGUGAGGAAUAUUGGUCAAUGGACGAAAGUCUGAACCAGCCAUGCCGCGUGCAGGAUGAAUGCCCUAUGGGUUGUAAACUGCUUUUAUAUAGGAAUAAACCCCUUUACGUGUAAAGGGCUGAAGGUACCGUAGGAAUAAGCACCGGCUAACUCCGUG
rnacentral:rRNA from 1 species